rnacentral:rRNA from 1 species
CUAGUAACUGCGAGUGAAGCGGGAAAAGCUCAAAUUUUGAAUCUGGCGGUCUGAAUGGGCGUCCGAGUUGUAAUCUAGAGAAGCGUCUUCUAGCGCUGUCCGUGUACAAGUCUCCUGGAAGGGAGCGUCAUAGAGGGUGAGAAUCCCGUCUUUGACACGGGGAAGCAGUGCGUUGUGAUUCGCUCUCGAAGAGUCGAGUUGUUUGGGAAUGCAGCUCAAAUCGGGUGGUAAAUUCCAUCUAAAGCUAAAUACAGGCGAGAGACCGAUAGCGAACAAGUACCGUGAGGGAAAGAUGAAAAGAACUUUGAAAAGAGAGUUAAACAGUACGUGAAAUUGCUGAAAGGGAAACGCUUGAUGUCAGUCGCGUCCUCCAGGGAUCAACCUUGC